AUUGAACGCUGGCGGCAUGCCUUACACAUGCAAGUCGAACGGCAGCGGGGGAGAAGCUUGCUUUUCCUGCCGGCGAGUGGCGAACAGGUGAGUAAUACAUCGGAACGUGCCCUGUAGUGGGGGAUAACUAGUCGAAAGAUUAGCUAAUACCGCAUACGACCUGAGGGUGAAAGUGGGGGACCGCAAGGCCUCAUGCUAUAGGAGCGGCCGAUGUCUGAUUAGCUAGUUGGUGGGGUAAAGGCCUACCAAGGCGACGAUCAGUAGCUGGGCUGGGCGGACGAUCAGCCACACUGGGACUGAGACACGGCCCAGACUCCUACGGUAGGCAGCAGUGGGGAAUUUUGGACAAUGGGCGAAAGCCUGAUCCAGCAAUGCCGCGUGUGUGAAGAAGGCCUUCGGGUUGUAAAGCACUUUUGUCCGGAAAGAGAUGGCUCUGGUUAAUACCUGGGGUCGAUGACGGUACCGGAAGAAUAAGGACCGGCUAACUACGUGCCAGCCGCCGCCGUAA
rnacentral:rRNA from 1 species